UGUUAAUUAACGUUGAUGGUUUCUUCUAUGUUGUGCAGAUCUGCAAUGGUUUGAACUUUGAAGGUGUAGAAGAAGAAGACACUUAACGCUUAAGAAACGAUGAAUAUUUGCUUAACUUUCUUCUAAUGUUUGGAAGAAUAUGUUCCGUGGCUGAAGGGUAUGUUUUGUUAAGCUGAUCGUUUAGGUCAAUUGAGCCUGUCUUGGUGUACAUGUCUAAGGUGGAUGGGAAGUUCCACUUCAGUCCUAUUAGCGUCAACUAAGUGAAGACUGAGAUUUUGGUUCACUUUCGGCACCAUAUCCUCCGCCUCCUUUGGAUCAAUAAUUGCGUCAUAUCCUCCUAUGCUCUUCGAAUCUAGGUCUCCCUUUUGGUUUUGGUAUGCUCCUAAGUCUGCAUUGGUUCAGAGUUCAGUAUCCUGAAGAUUAUCAAGGCCUGUCAUAUGAGGACCUUAAGGAAUUCAAGCAGACUAGAUAUGGUAAUAAAAGUUGUGUGCCAAUUGUCAAAAAAAAAAGACUAUUAGUUGUGUGCCUAUACAACAUUAGUUUAACU